UCUCUCCAGGGACAAGCGUGGGUGUCCAGGAGAAGGUGGUUUUCUCGUGUUUCGUUUUAUCUUCUCGCAAGAUGCAGGCUGCCUGAGCUCCACUGGGUGAUUUGGCUCCGGGGCGUUUUUCUUCUCCGGAAAGGGCCAUUCUGGACCACAUGAAGUCCCAUCCUUCUGGCCCAGGAAAGGGACUGGGAGAUCUCAGCUGGACCGGGGAGUGUCUGGUGACCACAGGCACCGUCCUUUUGACCUCUGCUGUCACAGACCGUUGACCAUGGAGAAAUAAAACACGCCAGGAAUAGUCACCUGAUUUCUGAGAUGGUAAUUAAAGCUGCAGGUGCAACCAUGACAUUUCAGACAGGUAUCCUGACAAAAUGAGGUAACAUCAGACAGAACGGAAAAACGGAUGCUGUAUGCUAUCUGUUUUCAAGUUGGAGAGGAAACCAUCAAAAGUGGACAAAGAAAGAAAAAAGAAAUGACCAAGGCAAGCACUCCAGCUAGGAAGUGCUGGGGGAAGCUGAGCGGGUGGCAGGGAUGAAAACGAUCGAGAUGACAAGAAAGGGGUGCUGGGGGGCUGCCAGGAUGCUCAGUCUCCCCUGGGGUUAAAGAUGCAAUUCACUGAAGUUCCAGCUGGACCAUCCGCAGAGCAUCGUCCAUUCACCAGCGGUGUGGAGGCAGCCAGUGCUGCACUGAACCUCCCCUCAAUAAAUACCAUCCAACAGCUACGGACCUGGAUGACCUGCCCAUCCCCCAGGCGGGGCAGAGGUGCUGGACCAGGGAGAUUGCAUGCUACACAAGCCACUCUGCCCAAGCACUGGACAGCAUAAAAGGAGGUCUCUUUUACCCAUUUAUCUUCUGUUGAUGUCUAGUUGAUUGGCAAUGCCAUCUUCGUUUCUUUUUCGCAUUCUAUAUGGAAUAGUUUGUAUCUGCUCAUCCCAGCUCCCAAUCUUCUCUCCCCCUCCCCCUUGGCAACCACACAUCUGUUCUCUACAUCUCUGAGACUGUUUCAGUGUUGUUUCUAAGUGCAUUUGUUUUGUUUUGUUUUUUAGGGCCACACAUGAGGCAUAUGGAAGUUCCCAGGUUAGGGGUCAAAUAGGAGCUGCAGCUGCCAGCCUACACCACA